AUAAAGCUGACAAUUAGUCUCUAGCAGGGAUCUAUAACACUAGUUAUCCAUCAGGACUUCCACUGAGAGACUCUUAUGAUUUCACUGAUAAGAGUCUGUAUUCCAUUUGCUUUGAAGGCAGUUUAUUUCCCUACUUGACUAUCCCUGGUCCUCACCAAAACUUUAGUCUGUCAUUUGUCAAUGAUUUCCACAUCUGGCAAAUAAGAACCAGUUGACAGCAAAAUUUUAUCUCAGUGGAAGUUCAUGUGAAUUGCUACUGCAUGUGUCACAAAUGCUUGCUAUAAAUACGAAUAUUAUUCACACUUUUAUUCAAUACCAAUCCAUAACUCUCCUCCAACUCUCUUAUAAGUUUCCAGGACACUGAACAGAAGGAAUCAUGGAACAGAACCUGACAAAACUUAUGAGGGGAAAACCUGUGGCCUCUAUUGCACACUGUGAACAUUUUAUAAAAAACAAAACAAAAAUAAAAACAGGUCAGCAUGUCUCAAGUGCCUCCCACCUCUGAUGUUAUUGCUCCAAGACUGAAAGAAGCAUAUGAACAUCUCUGCGAAUUUUAUCAUUUUUGUCUCCACUUCGUUUUCCAUCAACAUAAAGAGGAAAACUCUAUUAUUCUACUACAUAGAGAUAAUAUUCCUGUAAGAAAAGUAAACCAACAACAGCAAAAUCUGGACUUGUGGCAAAUUCUAGGUUACAUUCUGGAAGAAUUGCUUCACAUUCUAAAAUGAGCUCUGUUGCUUCCGCCUCUGGCUUCAAAUUCAUAGCAACUUUCUUUGUGUUUUUAUUGAUUUUCAUCAGAAGGAUUGACUAGAUGUGGAAAAUAAUCCCUCCUUUUUCUAUAAAAAUUAUCUAAACCCAUGACAGUUUUCAGAAAUAAAACACAUACAUUUAUAAAUUAAUUAUUAGGGGAACACGAUGUCAUCCAGUAUGACCUUGACAGACUUGAGGAGUGGGACCAUGUAUACCUCCUGAAGCUCAACAAGAACAAGUACAAGGUCCUCUGCCUGAGCCAAAGCAGUAUCAAAAAAGACUGGGGGAUGAAUGGAUUGAGAGCAUCCCUGCGAAGAAAGACCUGGGCGUGUUAGUGGAUGAAAAGCUGGAUAUGACCAAUCAGUGCACGCUCACUUCCCACAAAGCCAGCUGUAUCCUGGACUUCAAAAGAAGUGUGGCCAGUAGAUCAAAGGAUGUGAUUCUCGCCUACUACUCUACUCUUGUUAGACUUCACCUUCAGUACUAAAUCCAGUUCUGGGGCCUCCAAUGCAGCGAAGAAUUUAUAUUUUAGAAUGGGUCCAGAGGUGAGUCAUGAAGAAGACCAAAGGUCUAGAACACUUCUCUGAUGAAGAAAGGCUUCUAGAGCAGGGUCUCUUCACAAGACAAAGCUUUAAGGAGAGACUUUAUUCUGGCCUGUCAAUACUUACAGCUUUUGUGAGAAAGAUGGAGAGAGAUUUUUUUUACCAAUAAUGGAAUUACAGAAUGUCAUUCCUGGUUUUUCAUCUUCUUCUCUGGCAUAUCUCUUCAAUCUUACAAAACACAUGGAUGAAAUAGUACUUCUGCAUUGCAGUGAGAAUACAAAAUAUCUUUGAAAUAUCUAAAUCUCAUUCAUUUAAACACAGACUCAGGAGUCAUUAGUAUAUUCGGGAGUUCUUUGGAUGACAGGAAUGAAAUUAAUUUCAAGAUGCUGACAUUUAAAUUUAGAUGUCUGCUUCCAUUAUCAUCAGCAGAGAUCAAUGAAGCCCACAGUACAAACACCAUGUGUGGGCCAAGUCAGUCAGCUGUCCAGACAUGACUCAUAAUACCUUUUGAGAGGCACCAGGAUUUAUUAGAAAUCCACACAGAGAUGGCAGAUAUGGCACUCAGGAGACCAACAUUACUUUUGAAAGGCAGCUGGAGGACAGCCAGUAUUUGCUAUGGUAUCACUCAUCUUCCUGGACAACUCUGUUGAGGCAUUUGAACAGAGUCCAGUGUAU